UGUCUUGUGAUUAAAAUUUGACCAAUCAAGAUUAUAAGAAGCGAUAUCUUCUAAGAGAAUAUUGCAGGAGAUAUCGCAAAUUAUAGUGCCAGCGAUAUGCCCUAUAAAAGCUUUUAAUGGAUGAUAAGUAUGAUUAUGUGCAUUUCAGUCAUAAAAAUGUUACAAUGACAACAAACUCAGAAUAGUUCCUCUAAGUUACAUACUAGACAUACAGGUUGGUGUGACAGUGAGGACAACAAACUCAGAAUAGUUCCUCUAAGUUACAUACUAGACAUACAGGUUGGUGUGACAGUGAAGGAUCGAAGAUCUUUACGUUCUUUUCCUCACAGUUUGUACCACUGUGUGGCUUGUUACAUUCUGUUUUCAGUGUUAUUUGUUUUAUUAUAGAUGACUAAAAUGCCAGGUGACAAUGCAAGUACAUGUUUUUACUAACAUACUCCCUCAGGUACAAUUUUGUGGGAGCCUGUCUUGGCCCCCCCUCCCCAAUAAAAUUUGAUCGCCAGUCUAAGACCCCCCAUGCCUCUAAAUUCUUCCUGCAUACACGCCUGCCCCUUCAGUUCCAAUAGGUCAGGCUUGAAUAGUGUACCUCUAUCACGAGAUAUAUAGGCUAAGAGGCCUCUGAUAAUUGAAUAUUUGCAUAAACCAUUUAUGGGAAACGCAAAAACUAAUUCAGGUGACCCUUUUCGUUUUUCGUUUUUAGGUAACCCAUCAGGAACCUGUAAAUGAUGAUAUAAAUUCAAUGCGAGAAUGAAAAAUAGGUUACACAAACUAUUCUUGCGCGAACGCCACUAUCAUUCAUGCUGUUUUCUGAGUCCUUGUCUAAUAUAGAUAUAUUGAUACCAGUGAUGUCUGUCUGAGAAUGACAUAUUGUCGACUGAAAAAAGAAAUUAUUUUAAUUUUGAAUUCAGUGAGAGUAAAAGCAAUCAAACUAGUGCUAUUUUAUUUUGUGCCAAAUUCUACACGGAUUUCAUUUAUCAAUGUAUAUAGAGGAUACUCCCCGAGUGUCUUGUGAUAUCGUAAUUUAUCAGCAUGAGUUGAUAAAAGUAUGAAAUCCGAGGCUUGCAAAAAAAUAUAUCAUUGUGCCUUGAUAAUUUGUCAGACAUAUGAUUAUGUAUAAUUACUAGUAUUGUUGAAGAAGGAAGGAAAUGUUUUAUUUAACGGCGCACUCCACACAUUUUAUUUAUGGUUAUAUCAUAUAUGGCGUCUGAUAGUAAUCGAAGUCAGGAUCAUGUAUGUCACAUUGAUUGAUUUAUAUCACAUGGUUUAUAAAGCAUAUUAUAGAUUGAAUAUUUA